GCCCUGUGGUUCCUGGAGAAUGCAAACUCUGUGCAUUACUGCUGGUUUUUGAAAAGGGCAAAAAUUAACUCUGUAAUUGUAUGCAUGGAAUCUGUUAUUUAGCAGCCUCCAUAGCCCGGAUACAGAAACAGAU